rnacentral:lncRNA from 1 species
CUCCAAUCUGCGAUGCGCCCUGCCAGAAAAAAAAGAAAAGACAACAUUAGACAUACACAAAGGUCUUAACAGAAAACAUACCUGGGAAUCCUCAAUCUGCGUCACGCCCUGCUAAAAAAAAAAAAAAGGCCACACGACCUAAAGGAAAAAAAAAGAACCAUUAGACAUACACAAAGGUCUUAACAGAAAACAUACCUGAAAUCCUCAAUCUGCGUCGCGCCCUGCUAGAAAAAAAGAAAAGGCAACAUUAGACAUACACAAAGGUCUUAACAGAAAACAUACCUGAAAAUCCUCAAUCUGCGUCACGCCCUGCUAGAAAAAAAGAAAAGGCGAAAUUAGACAUUCACAAAGGUCUUAACAGAAAACAUACCUGAAAAUCCUCAAUCUGCGUCGCGCCCUGCUAGAAAAAAAAGAAAAGACAACAUUAGACAUACACAAAGGUCUUAACAGAAAACAUACCUGGAAUUCCUCAAUCUGCGUCGCGACCUGCUAGAAAAAAAGAAAAGACAACAUUAGACAUACACAAAGGUCUUAACAGAAAACAUACCUGGAAUCCUCAAUCUGCGUCGCGCCCUGCUAGAAAAAAAGAAAA